GAUAGAACGCUGGCGGCAGGCCUAACACAUGCAAGUCGAGCGGCAGCGGAAAGUAGCUUGCUACUUUGCCGGCGAGCGGCGGACGGGUGAGUAAUGUCUGGGAAACUGCCUGAUGGAGGGGGAUAACACUGGAAACGGUAGCUAAUACCGCAUAACGUCGCAAGACCAAAGAGGGGGACCUUCGGGCCUCUUGCCAUCAGAUGUGCCCAGAUGGGAUUAGCUAGUAGGUGGGGUAACGGCUCACCUAGGCGACGUCCCUAGCUGGUCUGAGAGGAUGACCAGCCACACUGGAACUGAGACACGGUCCAGACUCCUACGGGAGGCAGCAGUGGGGAAUAUUGCACAAUGGGCGCAAGCCUGAUGCAGCCAUGCCGCGUGUAUAAGAAGGCCUUCGGGUUGUAAAGUACUUUCAGCGGGGAGGAAGGCGUUGAGGUUAAUAACCUCAGCGAUUGACGUUACCCGCAGAAGAAGCACCGGCUAACUCCGUGCCAGCAGCCGCGGUAAUACGAGGGUGCAAGCGUUAAUCGGAAUUACUGGGCGUAAAGCGCACGCAGGCGGUCUGUCAAGUCGGAUGUGAAAUCCCCGGGCUCAACCUGGGAACUGCAUUCGAAACUGGCAGGCUAGAGUCUUGUAGAGGGGGUAGAAUUCCAGGUGUAGCGGUGAAAUGCGUAGAGAUCUGGAGGAAUACCGGUGGCGAAGGCGGCCCCCUGGACAAAGACUGACGUCAGU
rnacentral:rRNA from 1 species